UACGUAGGGGGCAAGCGUUGUCCGGAUUCAUUGGGCGUAAAGAGCGUGUAGGCGGCCAGGUAGGUCGGUUGUGAAAACUGGAGGCUCAACCUUCAGAGGUCGACCGAAACCAUCUGGCUAGAGUCCGGGAGAGGAGAGUGGAAUUCCUGGUGUAGCGGUGAAAUGCGCAGAUAUCAGGAAGAACACCCGUGGCGAAGGCAGCUCGCUGGGACGUUACUGACGCUGAGACGCGAAAGCGUGGGGAGCAAACAGG
rnacentral:rRNA from 1 species